UGGGGAAUAUUGCACAAUGGGCGCAAGCCUGAUGCAGCCAUGCCGCGUGUAUGAAGAAGUCCUUCGGGUUGUAAAGUACUUUCAGUCGGGAGGAAGGUGGUAAGGUUAAUAACCUUAUCAAUUGACGUUACCGACAGAAGAAGCACCGGCUAACUCCGUGCCAGCAGCCGCGGUAAUACGGAGGGUGCAAGCGUUAAUCGGAAUUACUGGGCGUAAAGCGCACGCAGGCGGUUGAUUGAGUCAGAUGUGAAAUCCCCGGGCUUAACCCGGGAAUUGCAUCUGAUACUGGUCAGCUAGAGUCUUGUAGAGGGGGGUAGAAUUCCAUGUGUAGCGGUGAAAUGCGUAGAGAUGUGGAGGAAUACCGGUGGCGAAGGAGGCCCCCUGGACAAAGACUGACGCUCAGGUGCGAAAGCGUGGGGAGCAAACAGG
rnacentral:rRNA from 1 species